GCGAGAGAGGAGCGAGAGCGAGAUCUUGGUCAUUGGCAUUUUCGGCCCAUUCGUACAAAUUUCCCGUACAAUUUCCCAAGACUUUUAAACCCUAUUCGCCCUUUUUCCUUUUCUCUCAUCCUCCAUCUGCCGCCUACUCAGUGCAAUCGCGAUGGAGGACGGCUUUGCAGCUGAAAAGCUCUUCAAUCAGGGAUAUUCCUACACCUACGACGAUGUCAUCUUCCUUCCGCACUACAUUGACUUUCCCACUGACUCCGUCCAACUCGCUACCCGACUCACCCGCAAUAUCUCCCUCUCUAUUCCUUGCGUCUCUUCCCCCAUGGACACCGUCACCGAAGCCUACAUGGCUUCCGCCAUGGCUGCUCUUGGUGGCAUCGGUAUCAUCCACUCCAAUUCCCCUGCGUCCCAACAAGCCGCCAUGGUUCAUGCCGCCAAGGCCCGCCGAGUUCCUAUUUUG
rnacentral:misc_RNA from 1 species